CUACGGGGGGCUGCAGUGGGGAAUAUUGCACAAUGGGCGCAAGCCUGAUGCAGCCAUGCCGCGUGUAUGAAGAAGGCCUUCGGGUUGUAAAGUACUUUCAGCGGGGAGGAAGGGAGUAAAGUUAAUACCUUUGCUCAUUGACGUUACCCGCAGAAGAAGCACCGGCUAAGUCCGUGCCAGCAGCCGCGGUAAUACGGAGGGUGCAAGCGUUAAUCGGAAUUACUGGGCGUAAAGCGCACGCAGGCGGUUUGUUAAGUCAGAUGUGAAAUCCCCGGGCUCAACCUGGGAACUGCAUCUGAUACUGGCAAGCUUGAGUCUCGUAGAGGGGGGUAGAAUUCCAGGUGUAGCGGUGAAAUGCGUAGGGAUCUGGAGGAAUACCGGUGGCGAAGGCGGCCCCCUGGACGAAGACUGACGCUCAGGUGCGAAAGCGUGGGGAGCAAACAGGAUUAGAUACCCCCGUAGUC
rnacentral:rRNA from 1 species